UACGAAGGGGGCUAGCGUUGCUCGGAUUGACUGGGCGUAAAGAGCGUGUAGGCGGCCAUGUAGGUCCGUUGUGAAAACUCGAGGCUCAACCUCGAGACGCCGAUGGAAACCAUGUGGCUAGAGUCCGGAAGAGGAGAGUGGAAUUCCUGGUGUAGCGGUGAAAUGCGCAGAUAUCAGGAAGAACACCCGUGGCUAAGGAGGCUCUCUAGUACGGUACUGACGCUGAGACGCGAAAGCGUGGGGAGCAAACAGG
rnacentral:rRNA from 1 species